ACGCUCGACACCUACGGGAGGCAGCAGUGGGGAAUAUUGCACAAUGGAGGAAACUCUGAUGCAGCGAUGCCGCGUGAGGGAAGAAGGUUUUCGGAUUGUAAACCUCUGUCUUUGGGGACGAUAAUGACGGUACCCAAGGAGGAAGCUCCGGCUAACUACGUGCCGGCAGCCGCGGUAAUCUGAGCGGCUGGCAAGGC
rnacentral:rRNA from 1 species